GACGAACGCUGGCGGCGUGCUUAACACAUGCGAGUCGAACGGAAAGGCCCUGCUUUUGUGGGGUGCUCGAGUGGCGAACGGGUGAGUAACACGUGAGUAACCUGCCCUUGACUUUGGGAUAACUUCAGGAAACUGGGGCUAAUACCGGAUAGGAGCUCCUGCUGCAUGGUGGGGGUUGGAAAGUUUCGGCGGUUGGGGAUGGACUCGCGGCUUAUCAGCUUGUUGGUGGGGUAGUGGCUUACCAAGGCUUUGACGGGUAGCCGGCCUGAGAGGGUGACCGGCCACAUUGGGACUGAGAUACGGCCCAGACUCCUACGGGAGGCAGCAGUGGGGAAUAUUGCACAAUGGGCGGAAGCCUGAUGCAGCAACGCCGCGUGCGGGAUGACGGCCUUCGGGUUGUAAACCGCUUUCGCCUGUGACGAAGCGCGAGUGACGGUAAUGGGUAAAGAAGCACCGGCUAACUACGUG
rnacentral:rRNA from 1 species